rnacentral:rRNA from 1 species
CAGUCGCCACGGUAAUACGAAGGGGGCUAGCGUUGUUCGGAUUUACUGGGCGUAAAGCGCGCGUAGGCGGCUUGGUAAGUUAGAGGUGAAAGCCUGGGGCUCAACUCCAGAAUUGCCUUUAAGACUGCCGAGCUAGUAGGUGAGAGAGGUAAGUGGAAUUCCGAGUGUAGAGGUGAAAUUCGUAGAUAUUCGGAAGAACACCAGUGGCGAAGGCGGCUUACUGGCUCAUUCUAGACGCUGAGGUGCGAAAGCGUGGGGAGCAAACAGGAUUAGAUACCCCUGUAGUCCCUGUCUCUUAUAC